GGUCAGCUGAUUGGUGACCUCGACCUCGACGACGGCUGGUGUCGUUGAAGCAGGACACGCUCGCUCUGUUCGCGAACCCCAGGUGUCAUCAUGGUGAUGUCGCACAUGGCGUCUCAGGGAACAUGGAGGUGGCAGUUGUACAGCACACAGAGAUAAAGUUCCUCGUAAGUUAUUCUCCAAAUUCCUAUCGCAAGAAAAGGAAUUUAGUCCGGCGAACCAACACGCACUCGCCACUGUGAACACAAAAUGAUGACACCAGGUGUUCUCGUCAAUGAAAAAAAAUAUUUCUUCUGUAUGUUAGGUGAUGAUAAUCCCAGAAAAAUUGUUAACAUACUUUGAAUAGUACUCAACGAAUCUGCAUCGUUGUUUCAUCUAUUGAGAAAAUCAUUGAAAUGCAUUGUGUAUUGUAUACCAUGGCACAACUGAACGAUGUCAAGUCUUUAAUGUGUAUUUUGCGUUCAGAACUAGGUCUGUGACAAUUGUCUGAUAUAAGUAACUUAUACUCAUUACUUUGGUGUAUGGGAGAACAUGUUGUAAAAGUGUAUGUCUAGCCUUGCUCCG